rnacentral:rRNA from 1 species
ACUGAACGCUGGCGGCAGGCCUAACACACGCAAGUCGGACGGUAGCACAGAGGAGCUUGCUCCUCGGGUGACGAGUGGCGGACGGGUGAGUAAUGUCUGGGGAUCUGCCCGAUAGAGGGGGAUAACCACUGGAAACGGUGGCUAAUACCGCAUAACGUCGCAAGACCAAAGAGGGGGACCUUCGGGCCCCUCACUAUCGGAUGAACCCAGAUGGGAUUAGCUAGUAGGCGGGGUAACGGCCCACCUAGGCGACGAUCCCUAGCUGGUCUGAGAGGAUGACCAGCCACACUGGAACUGAGACACGGUCCAGACUCCUACGGGAGGCAGCAGUGGGGAAUAUUGCACAAUGGGCGCAAGCCUGAUGCAGCCAUGCCGCGUGUAUGAAGAAGGCCUUCGGGUUGUAAAGUACUUUCAGCGGGGAGGAAGGCGAUGUGGUUAAUAACCGCGUCGAUUGACGUUACCCGCAGAAGAAGCACCGGCUAACUCCGUGCCAGCCGCCGCCGUAA